GUGUCAGCAGCCGCGGUAAUACGUAGGUGGCAAGCGUUAUCCGGAAUUAUUGGGCGUAAAGCGCGCGCAGGCGGUUUCUUAAGUCUGAUGUGAAAGCCCACGGCUCAACCGUGGAGGGUCAUUGGAAACUGGGGAACUUGAGUGCAGAAGAGAAAAGCGGAAUUCCACGUGUAGCGGUGAAAUGCGUAGAGAUGUGGAGGAACACCAGUGGCGAAGGCGGCUUUUUGGUCUGUAACUGACGCUGAGGCGCGAAAGCGUGGGGAGCAAACAGGAUUAGAAACCCUAGUAGUCC
rnacentral:rRNA from 1 species